rnacentral:snRNA from 1 species
UUAACUUUAACUUUAACUUUAAUCAUUUUAAAUCUGUUCUUAUCAGUUGAAUAUCUGAUAUGUCCUCUAUCUGAGGACUAUAUACGGAUUUUUGGAACAGGGAGAUGGAAUAGGCGCUUGCUCCAUCCACUCCACGGAUCAACCUCGUAUUGCAGUACCUCCAGGAAUGGUGCACCUCCC